ensembl:lncRNA
UACACUGUAAAAUGUAAUAUUGUGUUUAAUUAAAAAUAUUAAAUAGGCUGGACUCAAUUUUUAUCAAUUUGUUAUUAGAACUCAAUUUAAAUAAGUUACCAGUACUUUUAAUGCAAAAACGCUGAUAAACUCCAUUUAUUUGAGUUGUCUUAACUUAGAAAAACUAAGUAAGCUGGAAGUUUUGCUUCUCAGUGCGGAAGGAUGAAAGAUGUGUUUUGAAAAUGCCACGUGACUACCGUCCUCCUCCCUCGCAGAUCAGUCCGCAUGUUCACGGUGCAUUUUUUAUGGAAUAUGUUGAGCAAACCUGGAGAAGCGUCAGCUCAAGAUAUUAUUGUUGUCAUUGCUGUGGAUUUUUACCUGAUACACUGACUUGGCUCGGGACCAGCACUCCUGCUGUUGGACAGAAAGACAUCAACUCAGUGACUUGAGAUAUGACUGCACGAUGCUGUUGCUGGUGACUCCAGUUAAUUCUACAAGACAUGCUGUGACAACAGGAGAGAUGAGUCCUCCGUCACAGAUGGUGUGGUCAGUGAAGAUGGUCGCCUGCAGGUUCAAGCUCAUUGCAUCUCCAACCCACAUCCACUGCCACUGUACUUAAGGGAAGUUAAAGACUUUCUUCUGCACCUACAUUUGGAUCACCUCGAUCCAUGAUAGUCAUUCAGGCAGUAAUGCCUGGACUGGAAACAAGCAUCCUUAAAAUAAUACAACAUUCCAGCUCAUGUGUUGGAAUGGAAAACAAAUGUGUUGUUUAAAUUAGAGACUGCACUUGUGACAGAACAAUAAAUAUUUUAUUUUGAUUAUAUAAGUAAUGUAAGUACAAAACAAACUGUGGUAGACCUAAACUUAUUUUCAGAAUAAUUACAUCUGAGACUUUGUUUCAUUGUAAGAUUAUAACAGUGAUGGCAAUAUAAUUGUUUGUUGUUCAGCAGAACAUGUCCAGUAUGUUGGCUGUUAUACUUUGUUGUGUUUGAAAAUAAAA